UGCUAUAAGAAUCUGCAAAAUCCUUUGUGGGGAUAUACUACUCGUCUUCUUCCUUAACCGACUAGAGAUCCAGCCAGCUCGCAGGACAUUUUUAAGCUGGUGAAAUAUUAAAAUGGAUGUCAGUGGAAGACAUUGCUGGCUUACAUAUGACCUUGAGCAAGACACAGCACUUCUCAGCCUGUAAUACCAGAUAACCUCCCAGGUCGGCCUCAGCUGUACACUUCUCUGAUGUCCUGAUAGUGCCCAGAACAGGAGAAAGUUGCAGGGCUUUGUCACAUAGAUCUGGGAUCGAAUACCACUCUACCACCCCUACUGGCCAGCUGGGCUACUCCAUCUCCAGGCUCCACAAGCUUCAUCGGCUGCCUGCCAGAAAGGAAUGGAAGAUGGCCUUUGGUCCAGGUUUAGUCUACACAGCUGAGAAGGAAUCUACAUCCCCGAACACCCUUCUGCCCCAAGUUUAUUCCAUGUCUGGCAGGAGACUAUGACUUUCAGGAACACGCAUCCUAAGAGCAGCCAGUGACUGACAACCACUGAAGCUACAAGAGGGGUGCGUGUGGAUUCAUUGUACAUUCUACUUUCAUGCAGCUUUGAAUUUUUCAAAAUACAAAGUGAAAGAAAAAUACAGGUACCUAGUCUUUGAUCUUCAGGGUCCGGCCCUCCUUAACUAGUUAGGGAUCUGGAAUAAGACUCAUGACCAAUGUUCUGGGAAGAAAAAAUCACUCACUGUAUUGUAUCCUAAGGCCCUCCUGUCCCUUACCCUAAAUGCUACAAUGCGUUAGGACAGUAUCUUGAAGUGCUGUGAUCUUCUACAACCACUAUCAAAGGAAA